rnacentral:lncRNA from 1 species
CAACACUCCCUGCUUCCUGACUGCGCAUGCCUCAAGCUCCUGCUGCUCACUAUGCCGGCCUUGUCAUGGUGGAUGGUACCUUUGAACCUCGAGGCAAAAUAACACUUCACCCCCUUACAUUGUAUUUGUUCAGAUAGUUUAUGGCAGCCACUGGAGAAGUAAAUAAUACAACACCUCAAAGAAUUGAAAACACACAUAGUGGCUGGCUUUUCAUCGUACAACUGAAAGAACAAGCUGGUCAGGAAAGUGAUCCCACCCUGCACUGAAGGAUGGAGUCAUCAACUCUGCAUAAACUAAACAUCUCCAAGUGAAUAUGGAUUAAUGUUUCUCCGACCAUGAAGAAAAUAUGCAUUUGAAAAACUGAACUAGAGGAAUUAUUGCUGCAAUUUUGUUUCCUCCUGAUAUCAUGAAUCAGAAUUAACCUGAGUUAGAUACCAAGAAGAAAAGAGGGCAUUCCCCACGCAUGUCUCAGCCUUUCCAGAGCUCAGCUGCCUCCAGUUACAAUGACUGCUGAUUGUGACGCUGCAGCCUCUGGUGUUCCUGAUGUAUUCACUGCUCUGACUUUGAGUGCCGCUGCUGAGUGCCUGGACAGAAAGUGACCCCUAGAACUGCAUGCAAUGGUUCCCAGAAAAUGGAGUUUCUUUUGAAGUGCAGACCCUACAAUGUCUCACCCCCCCCCCCAAGGU